ACAGAAAAAUGGUUGAUUUCCCCUUAAAUACUUAACAAACGCGUCAUGAUAUACAUGGAAGUAACUGAGUGGUCUCAUGGGUGCAACCAAGUUUCUAAGAUGUUCUAUUAUCGAAGUUAAUAUUCUGAAAAUCAAGUCUCUUGUUUUAGAAAAAUGGAAGUAAAUAAUCAACAAAAGCAAAACAAACAUGCCCCUAACAGGUGCGGCCGACAGUGUGUGAAACUCGUGCUCAGGAAGAUCUCGUUUGCCCAGCGCUCCGCCCACGGCAGCUGAGCCUUGAGCAGGGAGAAGCGGGCACGUGGGGCAGGGUCCCCGCGUGGGGGCUUGUGGAGUCCGUCAUCGUGGGGAAUAAACCUGGCUGGGAGCAGCCCAGGAACUCAGCGUGGGGCCCGUCCCCUCGGGAGCCGGAAGCCGGGUCAGUGUCCCCUCCGGGCUUUGUCCUGCGUCUUCUCUCCCGACCCCGCACCUGCCCUCACCACCACCUGAUGUCUGCCAAGCCUGGACUGGCAUCUGCCUCUCUCCAAGGAUGCCGUUCCGUGAAUUGAGUUCCUAGGGCCACCGGUGCAGGCAGCGUCCCAAAAGAAGACCGAGAAGGCACGAGGAGUGGCCUCCGCGGCCGUCACCUUCAGCGCCCCACUCACCUGGAGAGCGCCUCUACCCAUAAUGCACUAAGUGGAUGAUUAAACAGGAAUGGGGGCUUAACGGAGGCCUAGAAAACGGGAUAUGCAUCUUGGAACUCAGUAACCCUCGGAGACGAGCUCAUCCAAAGGCUUCACUUCAUACCUGGAGAAACCCGUGGAGUUCAAGCCGCGGGCCCUUGAUCACUGGCUGUGACACAGCAAGACACAGGACAAACUCACACCCUCCUCUAGACGGCUCCGCUCCGAGCACAGAAGAUAUCAGCCAGCCUGGACGUGUCACCUGGACUUGCUGAACCCUCGAGGGCUCACUCCCAGCAUCCUGUGCUCCAGUGCUCCUGGACGCCCCGGUGCCUUCCAGAAGCACGGCCUCAAUGAAACGGAGAGAGCCAGGGGGUGGCUUUCCGGCCCGCUGGGUGCAGGGCAGGUACCAGGACCGGUUCUUUCCCCUUGUUUCCCUGCUGUGCCCGGAGCAGCGACUCCGAGGCCAGUAGGGAAGCCUCAGGUACCCGCGAACCAGGGAAAGUUCCCGCAAAGGUGACGAGAGAAGGGCGUGUCCUGGCUGGUCGCGUGUCUGAGUGAGGCUUCCCGUAGGGCCUUCCCCUGGCCCAAGUCAGAGGACACGCAAGAAGGCGGGCGAGGGUCCGGCCAGAGCCCCGGGGGCCCCACAGCGGCGGCGGGCAGCGGGUCAG
rnacentral:lncRNA from 1 species